GCCGCCGGCUGCAGGUCGCCUCUGUCCAGAGCGUGAGAAGGCCGCUCGGCCUGCGCCGACUGAGGAGCCGCGGGAUGGGUGAGUGUCCCGUCCCGCUGAACGCUCGUGGGGGCGGAAGCCAGACGCCGCGCCGUGGGAGACCUAGAACGGAGGAAGAAGCUGCAGCCUCUGGGACCUGGGUUCCGGUCACUUCGCCUGACGGCUCCCGGAGAGGCAGGGGUGGGCCCUCCUCCGAGGCCUCCCAGACCCAAACGAGUUCAGCCUGGAACCGAGGUACCAAUUUUGUUGUACUCUCCGGAGCAUUUAGUACAGCGCUCUGCACACUCAUAAGCACCACUGAUUGACUGAUGGUACAGAAGAAAAGGAAACUCACACUGGAUGCUGCUACUCAGCCUGGCCCGGCCUCCUCCUCGCCUCCUCCUCCUCGUCUUCUCCUCUUCCUCCUCCCGCUGCGGGCUGCCCAGUCCAUAGGGACACCAUCAGAACCGUACUAGGCCCUGGGCCUCUUGAGGGUCAGCAGGCUUUCCUCUCUCUCAUCUUUAUGGGGUCGGAAGGACCCUGAGGGCCAGAGAAGGGCAGGGACCAGCCCCAGGUCCACCGUGGGGCCCCCGCCCCAGACCUUGGAGCUCCUCCUCGGUGCAGCCGCCGUCCACCCAGGCUGGGAAUGCUGGGGCUGGGAAUGCCGAAGCCAGGGAAGGGGAGUGAGAGGCGAAGCCGUUCUAGGCACCCUGCCUUCUCCAGCAUCCUGGGGGCCCGGGUGGGGCCGGAUGGGCAGCAACCUGGGGGCAGGGAGAAGGUUGAAUUUGGGUCCCGGUCAUGUCCCGCGCCACCUCCCAAGGCAGAGGAGCCCCGGGGACAAGCCGACCGGAGGACCUCGCCCCGUCGUCGAUCCCCCAAACCUCGGGUUGGUCCGGGUGACAUCAGCCAGAGCAGGGGGUGGGGAGGGAAGCCGAGUUAGAGUAGGGGUUCAACAUUCCCACCUAGCACCGGACUCCCCGUGGCCCCGCCCGGCCCCGGCCCAGGCCCCCGGCCCACAGGUGGGGCCUGUCAGUGCCGAGACGGAGACGGGAUGGCAGGCAGGCGGGCGGGCGAGCGCCGGGCGAGCGCGGCACCGGGAUUCUUCGCGGCCACGUGGAGGGACCAGGACCAGUCCCGCCCACUCGCCCUCGACGUCCCAAGGCGUCCGCGACCUCGGCGUCCCGGCGGAGGGAUCCGGGCUCUAUUGCCCCCCGCGGGGACCCCAACUCAUCCCGGAAGCCAACAGAGCCGGUCAGGGCCUUCUCUUGACCCCCGGUUGGGGGAGAAGGGAGGUCUCCCAGCCUCAAGGGCCCCUCUUCUUCCCCCGGAGAGAUGGCCCUCCCACCUCCACCUUGGCCUCCCGGGGCCCGGGGAAGCGACCACCGGGGUGGAGCCACCCGGCAGGCCUUCUUCCUGGCCAGAUUCACAGCCGAGAGCUGGCUGCGGGGUUGGGGGGCGGGGGUCUCCCGCC